rnacentral:lncRNA from 1 species
AGCGGAUGCCACCCCGUUUCCAGCCUCCGGUGCUCACCGUAAUGCUCACAACAACCUAGCAAAGUGGGGAUCAUCUUCACCACUGUACAGAUGAAGAAAUUGAAGGUCAGACAUUCAAGGUUAUGUGGCCACAUGAGAGAAAUACCAGAGCUGGGAUGAAGACUCAACGGCUCUCAGACACCAGGUUGCUUCUUGAGAGAAGCCGGAUGGAUGUGCAUGCAGGGAGGAGCUGGGGGAGGUUGGAGAAGCCGCAGCCCAGAAGGGGAGGGAGGACACCAUGUCAGAGCUUGCUGGAGCAAGCUUUGGAGGAAGGCCACAGGGGACAUUGUCACCAAGGGCCACGGCAGCGUGCACCCUGGGUUAGAGAAAGGGGCAAAUUAUGGAUAUGAAAAAUGCUUCCCUCAAUGAAAAGGACCCUGCUGAGACAGGAUGGCUGUGGGCCAAAUACCCCUACAGUGCCUGAUUCUUUUAUCUUAUUAUUUAUUUAAACAAGACCAGCAUUUUGCUUUAGAUAGAAAAUCUCUCUCUGCUACAAAAUUGCAAGCCCUGGGAAAAGUCUCCAAGAAUGGCUGAUGCCACAGUCAAACAAUAACAUACAUGUCGGGGUGAAACAGUGCACAGAGGAUGAAAAAAGGGAAAAGCUCGAGGCCCCGGGAGGAAGGAGCUGGGAGGGUGGAGGGCGUGGAGGUGUGAGGGCCCAGAGGGAUUGCCCAGGAAGGUAUGGAGGACCGAAAAUGGAUCACCAGCCCUCAUGGACAACUUAAACUAAAGGUGGAAAAGACAGAAAAGCUGGCAGGGGGAAUUGUCUCCAGCCAACCUGUCAACUUUUGGAAAAAGAUGGAUCACAAAGAAUGGGAAGUGGAAGAGAAGGAGAGGAGAAACCAAGAAUAAAGAGCAGACGCUGUGGGCAGAGCUGUGGGGCGCCCAUGCUGGCAGAGCUGGGUUCUAGGGCCCUGGUUUCGGCUGUGUAACCGCUUGCCCAGCCCUCAUCUCAUCCCUCAACAAUGAGGGCCUGGCAAGGGAGGGUAUGCUGGCCUAUUUUUGUCUCAUGUAUUUGUGGACUCUGUCCAGAAGCUCUGAGAUGCCAAGUUAAAAUGGAGAAGGUUUGAGUCACCGCCACCUGGCCAGAGCCUCAGUGAGUGGGACGCCAGGGCUGGGGUCGGGGGCUGCAGAGUUGCUGUUGAUUCACGCGGCUUCUCUGGGGUCUGGAUCUCAGUUUGGCUGUGAGGCUAAGCCCUGAAUGGGUGCAUAGCAACGUUAUUCUGGAGUGCUAACAGCCUACCCUUGCCACCCACGUCUUAGAGACAUUAGAAAGUUGGGUACAACAUUCCCCACCUCCCUCUGAUUUUUCUGGAGUAGACUGUGAUGAGGAGAUGGUCAGUCUCCAAUAAAGUCAGCACCUUCCAUGAA